rnacentral:tRNA from 1 species
GGCGUGGUCGAGCAAGUGGUUAACUCGCUAGAGAUUGAUUCUAGAGACGCUGGUUCAAAUCCAGCCUGCGCCA